rnacentral:rRNA from 1 species
GGAUAAUACCCCAUAGGCUAUGGAAGCUGGAAUGCUCUGUAGUUGAAAGGUCAGCCGCCUUAGGAUGGGUCUGCGGCCGAUUAGGUUGUUGUUGGGGUAACGGCCCAACAAGCCUGUAAUCGGUACGGGUUGUGGGAGCAAGAGCCCGGAGAUGGAUUCUGAGACACGAAUCCAGGCCCUACGGGGCGCAGCAGGCGCGAAAACUUUACAAUGCGGGAAACCGUGAUAAGGGAACUCCGAGUGCCCGUUAAAUCGGGCUGUCCACCAGUUUAAAAAACUGGUGAAGAAAGGGCCGGGCAAGACCGGUGCCAGCCGCCGCGGUAAUACCGGCGGCUCGAGUGGUGGCCACUAUUACUGGGCUUAAAGCGUUCGUAGCUGGUUUGUUAAGUCUCUGGGGAAAUCUUCCGGCUUAACCGGAAGGCGUCUCAGGGAUACUGGCAGACUAGGGACCGGAAGAGGUGAGGGGUACUCCAGGGGUAGGAGUGAAAUCCUGUAAUCCUUGGGGGACCACCUGUGGCGAAGGCGCCUCACCAGGACGGCUCCGACAGUGAGGGACGAAAGCUGGGGGAGCAAACCGGAUUAGAUACCCGGGUAGUCCCAGCCGUAAACGAUGUGCGUUAGGUGUAUCGGUGACCACGAGUCACCGAGGUGCCGAAGAGAAAUCGUGAAACGUACCGCCUGGGAAGUACGGUCGCAAGGCUGAAACUUAAAGGAAUUGGCGGGGGAGCACCACAACAGGUGG